GAAUUUGGGCCUGAUCCAAAGCCCACUAUAGUCAAUGGAAGUUUUUCCAUGGACUUCAAUGGGCUUUGAUUCAGGUCUUUUAUC
rnacentral:pre_miRNA from 1 species